rnacentral:rRNA from 1 species
UACGUAGGUGGCGAGCGUUGUCCGGAUUUACUGGGCGUAAAGGGCUUGUAGGCGGUUCGUUAAGUCUGGUGUGAAAUCUCCCGGCUCAACUGGGAGGGGUCACUGGAUACUGGCGGACUAGAGGGGGGUAGAGGAGAGCAGAAUUCCUGGUGUAGCGGUGAAAUGCGUAGAUAUCAGGAGGAAUACCAGUGGCGAAGGCGGCUCUCUGGGCCUACCCUGACGCUGAGGAGCGAAAGCGUGGGGAGCAAACCGG